rnacentral:ncRNA from 2 species
GGGUAUAAAGCUGUUGCAGGUGCAUGUAUGUGUUGGAAAAAGGAAAGACGGUGCGACUCCGUCACAAGCCAGUCCUUGCUGUAACCGAAGGCUGCAGCGGCUGGGGCAGAGCCCCAUAUCCUGAUACGUUCAGGAUUCGUCACUGGGAUUUCCGGGAAGACGGUCGCCGUGCAGGAUAAUUCGUAAGUCAGAAAGCCUGCCUGCAACCGUGGACUUUA